rnacentral:lncRNA from 1 species
AGGCUGGGCUGAAUCUCACUGCCUGUCGUCAUCAGGGUACUGCCAUGACUUACCAUGGUGAAUUAUGCAAUACACUAAGGGGAGACACAGAUUGGUGUGUGUAACGAACAACUGACUUGGGACGACCGAGCAUUGGUGUGGUUGAGUCCAUUUACUCGGUAACAUGGACUCUUUACAACAUGAUGAAACUUUGUUGCUUCUUGCUGAAAAAAACCAGGGUGUUGUAACAAACGAGUCCUUGGUUGCCUAGGCAAUGCCCCCUUCCAGCAGCAGCAGCACAUGCAGUCAGGGGUGGAGGAGAGGAGAAAAUGUGCGUAUUUUGGCAGACCAAUAACCGGCAUCCAAAUUUCCAUGACCGUCACGGCCCUAGUGGCAAUCUGUCACAGUGUUGACAUAGAUAAACUAGGGGCACUAUUUCCAUUCACUUCAACAACUGCAUCAGAGUCAAUACCUGCAGGAGCAGAGAUAAGAAAACAUUUUCACAACGAACCAGCCAAAAAGCUGGCCCAACCAUUCCAAUGGACCUCUUUUUGUUAAUUCACACGUUCUUUUGUUAUUUUUAUCAGCUGUAUCUGUGUGUGUUUGUGUGCACCUCCUGAGUCCUUCCUCUCCUCUGUGCAGAGAGGCUUGUUUUAGCUUGUUUGCAGGACACAGUAACCCAGCAAUACAACCAUGAACUGAACUCUUUUACACAACUGUGUUCGACACACUGCCCUAGCAGAAAACCCCAAGUGUGACAGCUGGUAGGGGAGGUGACAAACCAGGCCAAUUCCCUACUACAUUAUGAAGACACACACAUAGAGAGAUAGAGCUUCCCUCCCCAUAUAGACAGCUUCUCCAACCUAUCAAUGGUUCUAAAACAUUUUGAAUAAAAAGGCUCUCAAAAAGCGUCUGCCUGCAGCCGUUCCCAGAUCUCAUCUGUUAUGUAUCAGUUUUAUCUAGCAGAGCGCUGACGGGUCAUGUCCCUGGACAGACACAGCUCUCUCUCUCUCUCUGACUGCUGCCUGUCUGUGUGUGUGUGUGUGUGUGUGUGUGUGUGUGUGUGUGUCACAGCAACAGAGAAAACAGCCUUGAGCCCCUCUCGCUCUGCUAGUCACUGAGUCACACGCAACAGUACAAACUACUGAGAGAUAAACAUGACAACAUACACACUCUGGUCUGUCUAGCCACUCAGAGCGCACACCUGGCUUACUGAUACCGGGUUGAAACUGAGAAAAGAGAUAUUACAAAAAUGUAACGUAAAGUGUUAAUUGUUAAGUCAAUUUCACUUGGACAUUAUACUGAUUUACAGAUUAUAAAAGGGGGUGGGGGUCUGUGGGGGUCGAUAAUUCCAUAACCUUUCAUGUCCAAUCCAAGGAACCAAUCUUUAUGAACACAAUAUCCUCUAGUAUGAAAGACCAUACGCUCAACAAAGUGAAACAUGGGUCAUUUUUUGUAGCGUUGAAUGAGUGAACUGCUUGGAUCUCAAUAUUAAGGUAAAGACCGCAUUUAGUGUGGUUGGCCAUGGUGAGCAAGGCAGUGAUACAAGUCAUUGAUAUCAUGUGCACUGAUUUGUGUAUGGAUUAAUAUAGCGAUUGGUUCAUAAGCUAGUGGUCUCACUAUUACAGUGAGAGCAGUAUUGGUUUAGGUUUAUCAGUCAACAGCAACAUGACCAUCAUAUCUUCCAUUCUCACCCACAUGAUUGGGCAAUCUUGACCUUAUUCUAAACCUUUAACCAUUUAAGGCAUUUACUUGAAGGCAUUUAUUUUACAUCUUGAGAAUCAGAAGUAUUCUGAAACACUGGAAUGCUUUCUAAGAAUCCAACAGCGGUCAUCUGACCAAGCCUCCCCACGACAUUUAUGCCCAAACCACGGGAUAGUUCCAAACAAUUCCAUUUCAACUCCAGUUUAUUCACAACUUGGGUUUGGAUUUUUAGGUGGAAACAUCCAAUUCUUAGAGCUAUUUUCAAUUUCAGAAAUUCUAUGCCUCAUUCAAUGACUGUUUCAUCUGGACCAGGACUGGUAUUGACCCAACUCUGGCUGAAGAAGUAACCAUGCCACUGGUAAUAACCAUGUAAUAACCAUAUUGUUAUAGAUGCAGUACUUGGUAAUAUCUAUGUUAUAAUGUUGCACAGUAUACCGAAACUUUUCGAUACCAAAACAAUAUGUACAGUUAGGUACUAUAAUUUUUGUUACGUUUGGUACUUCUGUCAAAUGUGUCUUACGUGAUUGAGAGGAUCAAGUCUGUAUCAGCAUAGCCUCUUUAUAGCGCCAAGAGCAAAGAGCCUAGUCCACUUAGUCAUUCAUUGCUAGAGCUGUCUGAGCUGCAUUAGCUCCCCAGUCCCCACUCACGCUGCACAGAAGUUAACACACUUGAAUAAUGCAACACGGCAUGUAGAAAUGUUGAAACUUUUCAUUACUGUUCACAAAACAAUGUCAAUACAGGCUUGACACUUUUACAAUGCAAGACGAAACCGGUAGCUUCCAGCUUUAAUUGUAGGCUAACUUUCCUUGCUAGCUUACAGCUGAAUUCACAAUCCUAGUACUUUGUUUGUGAUAAUAUGCAAACCAUAACACAAAAUAUGCUAAUUUAAAAGCUCACAGGCACCAAAAAUGUUACUUAUUCACAUUGUCUCCCAUGCCACCAAAACAUCAUUCACUUCUUCGUCUUCCUUUGCCUCCCGUCUGGUUUCCACUAGAUUCCCGAGUCACAAAGUCAGAUUCCACAGCCACAUUCUGCCAUGCAAAUUAAGCAAAUAACGUCACUCAUUUCUUAAAGAGACAGUGCACACUUUUCGAAAAGAACAGAUUGCUUCUUCCAUGCAAAUGUUGUUAAUAAGUACAAUAAAAGAAUACAGUAUGUUCUCUUAGCAGUUUCCAAUAAAAUAAGUCCUAAAGUUUAUCUGUCUAGAUCAAGUGCCAUUUUGUGACUUUAGCAAUUUUUUUUUUUUUUGUGGUAUAUUUUUGGUAUCAUUUUGGUAAUAAGUAUCGUGAUGGUAUCGAGUAUUGUGAUACUAAACCUGGUAUCGGUAUCGAAUGAAAAAUGCUGAUAUUGUGACAAAACUAUUAUGUUAUUAGCCAUGUGGUCCCUACCUGCGUCGGGGGACAGGUAUGUGGGAGGAGGGGUGGGAAUUUCUCUCCUCAGGUGGCACUUGAUGUCCGGUUUCCUGGAAACCAUCGGGCACCAGCGGAUUCCUCACUUUCGAGUGCAUGUGUCUGUCCGGCUUCUGCCCGUUCAGGAUCAGGCAGUGAGUGGGACUGCCGUUAGUAAGGACCCCAGUCAGACCACUGUUCCUCUCAUCUGCCUCGCCACCACAACCCAUCUGAAGGAUGAAGAACAGUACACACACAGCAGAGAAAUAGUUGCAGUCUCAGAACUGUUAUGAUGGUGCUUUUUAGUCCACAUAGUCCACAUUGUUAUUUAUUUAU